UACGUAGGGGGCGAGCGUUGUCCGGAUUUAUUGGGCGUAAAGAGCUCGUAGGCGGUUCGAUAAGUCGGACGUGAAAUCUCCACGCUCAACGUGGAGGGGCCGUUCGAUACUGUCGUGACUCGAGUCCGGUAGGGGAGUGUGGAAUUCCUGGUGUAGCGGUGAAAUGCGCAGAUAUCAGGAGGAACACCAAUGGCGAAGGCAGCUCGCUGGGACGGUACUGACGCUGAGACGCGAAAGCGUGGGGAGCAAACAGG
rnacentral:rRNA from 1 species